CAUGGUACAAUUGGAGAACCCCUGCC
rnacentral:piRNA from 1 species